rnacentral:rRNA from 1 species
UACGUAGGGUGCGAGGCGUUAAUCGGAAUUACUGGGCGUAAAGCGUGCGCAGGCGGUCUGUUAAGACCGAUGUGAAAUCCCCGGGCUUAACCUGGGAACUGCAUUGGUGACUGGCAGGCUUUGAGUGUGGCAGAGGGAGGUAGAAUUCCACGUGUAGCAGUGAAAUGCGUAGAGAUGUGGAGGAAUACCGAUGGCGAAGGCAGCCUCCUGGGCCAACACUGACGCUCAUGCACGAAAGCGUGGGGAGCAAACAGG